CCUCUCAUAUGUUGUUCAGGGAUUGACGCAUACCUGGAAAUGAAAGUCAAAGGGAGGUAAGAUCAGCAGUAAUAACAAUAGCAAUCACCAACAGCAACAACAACCCCGGAUUCAGCAAGUGAAACCACAAAAUUGAUUUAAAACCCAAUGGAACAGUAGUUGAGGCAAUGGAACAAUAGAGAAUUCCUAGUUGUUUUUGUAUUUUUUUUUGGACUCUUAUCUUUUCAAAAUCUCUGUAUUUUCAAUAUUUUUCAGAACAUGUUCUUCUUCAUUCCCAGUAUUUCAGAAUCUCUCCUAUAUGUAUAUAUUUCAGUACUUUCAGAUUGUUCUCUCUUCUAUUUCUUAAGCUCUAUCCCUCUUAGAAUAUUUUCUCUCUUUUCCUCUCUGUAUUCAAUUCCCUAUUUCUUAAGCUCUCUUCUCAGAAUCUUCCCCCCGAAUGUUCUGUAUUCAAUGUCCUUUUAUAGGCAUUCAAUUAAUGCAUCCCCAUUACUAGUGUCCCUUCCCUUAUUUUAAUUAUCCCUACUAACUUAUUUUCUCUAAAUUAAUCAAUUAGUGUCAUUCCCAUUAUCACUUUCAACUUUUUAUCUCUUAAUUGUCAACUUAAACUAGUUAGUGUAAUUCCAACUCUACCACAAUUGAGAAGCUUCUCAAUUAGGUGAAUACCCUUUUUAUUAAACAAUCCCCAAUAUUACCCUUAAGUUUCUGUUUUUAAAUAAUUUUUUAAGUUCUGAAUUAUCACAAUCUCAAUAACAGAAAGUAAAAGAAACUGAGGCUUUCAGCUGGAUUGAAGCUCAAUGAAAUUCAAAAAUGGUUGUUAAAUCAUGUUAAACCAUGGAAUUUUCAGAAAUUGUCUUGAAACACGAGCUAAUGUAGAGGAUAGACUAUCCUUCUAAUCUCAAAGCUUUUAGUUUCAGAAUUAAUUCACAAACAUAAUCAAUGAAACCUAACAGAAGGAGGAAAAUCCUACGAAUUCGAAACCAAGUUACAACCAAGCCUUAGGAAACUGAUUGUUAUUAACAAUAAAUUAACUAAUGAACCUAAAUACCAGAGAAACAAAUUGAACUCCCAAUUCAAGUAAAAAAAAAAUGUAAACAAAACUCAAUUACAGUCUGAAACUAGAAUAAGCGAAAUUUAAACCAACUCUAAACUAUAAGUUAAGGCAGGAUUAAAUUAUCACAUUUAUUUUAAUCAGAAGCCAGAUUGAGAUUGUGAACUAGGAAAUCAUCAAGUCAUUCAGUAAACGGACACACAAAACACAAUAAGUGAUUAAGCCUAGAAUAGAAUGAAUGAACGAAAAUAGACACACGAAUUUCUGGCUUGGCAGAAACUUAGUCGAUUUUCGACUGAUUUAAACCAAGAGAAGAAGUGAAGAGAAAAAAAAAGUAAAAAGGGAAGAAUAAACUUACCAAUCCGGUUCGAACUUGACUAACCUUGAUUCGAUCCCCAAAUAGCGUCAAUCGCUUGUUCUUUGCUAAGAACAAACGACCAACGUCAUUUGGAGAUUGAAUCGACUUGAACACUGAAGAGACGUUGGAGGAAAAUCUGUGCAUGCGAAAUUCCGACUAGGUUCCUAAAGCUCGAACCCUAAUCCUAAAAUUUGAUAAGCUCUGGCCUCAUUCGAAGGGUAUAAGGUGGGGGUUUGGGAAGAGGGUAGUGAGAUGGUUCUAGGGUAUCGAUUUGGGGCUAGUUGGGUAGGCUAGGGUUCGGGGUCAGAUCUACGAUCCAAGAUUCGAAGAGUUAUGGGGUGAUUCGAGGAAAAUGGGGUGGGGAUUUGGCAUGAGGGGAGUGAGGGGGUUCUAUGGUGUUAACUUGGGGUUGUUUGGGCCACCAGAACCGCCGUGAGGCGAUUUCUGGUGGGCAGAGGGCGGUGGUGUGAGGCGGUGAGAGACAGGGGUGUCUCUAUGGUAGGUGAGAGACGAUGAGG
rnacentral:lncRNA from 1 species